rnacentral:rRNA from 1 species
GACGAACGCUGGCGGCGUGCUUAACACAUGCAAGUCGAACGGAAAGGCCCUGCUUUUGUGGGGUGCUCGAGUGGCGAACGGGUGAGUAACACGUGAGUAACCUGCCCUUGACUUUGGGAUAACUUCAGGAAACUGGGGCUAUUACCGGAUAGGAGCUCCUGCUGCAUGGUGGGGGUUGGAAAGUUUCGGCGGUUGGGGAUGGACUCGCGGCUUAUCAGCUUGUUGGUGGGGUAGUGGCUUACCAAGGCUUUGACGGGUAGCCGGCCUGAGAGGGUGACCGGCCACAUUGGGAUUGAGAUACGGCCCAGACUCCUACGGGAGGCAGCAGUGGGGAAUAUUGCACAAUGGGCGGAAGCCUGAUGCAGCAACGCCGCGUGCGGGAUGACGGCCUUCGGGUUGUAAACCGCUUUCGCCUGUGACGAAGCGUGAGUGACGGUAAUGGGUAAAGAAGCACCGGCUAACUACGUG